rnacentral:tRNA from 1 species
GUGGAUAUGGCGGAAUGGUAGACGUAUUUGGCUUAGAACCAAACGAUUAACUAAUCAUGGGGGUUCAAGUCCCUCUAUCCAUA